rnacentral:rRNA from 1 species
CGGUUAAUGAGUAUACUGGCGGACGGGUGAGUAACGCGUAGGCGACCUGCCCUUGUGACGGGGAUAACAUCGAGAAAUUGGUGCUAAUACCCGAUAAAGCAACCAUACUGCAUGGUGAGGUUGUUAAAGUUGUUUUCGGACGAUGCACAAGGAUGGGCCUGCGUUCCAUUAGUUAGUUGGUGGGGUAACAGCCCACCAAGACAAUGAUGGAUAGCUGAUCUGAGAGGGUGAUCAGCCACACUGGGACUGAGAUACGGCCCAGACUCCUACGGGAGGCAGCAGUGAGGAAUAUUGCGCAAUGGAGGCAACUCUGACGCAGCAACGCCGCGUGGGGGAUGAAGUUCUGUGGAAUGUAAACCCCUGUAGGUAGGGAAGAAGGUUAUGGUAAGGCCAUAAGUGACGGUACCUGCAAAGUAAGCUCCGGCUAACUCCGUGCCAGCAGCCGCGGUAAUACGGGGGGAGCGAGCGUUGUCCGGAAUCACUGGGCGUAAAGGGCGUGUAGGCGGGUUAGUAAGUCAGAUGUGAAAGCCCACGGCUUAACCGGGGAAAUGCAUUUGAUACUGCUAGUCUUGAGUGCGAGAGAGGGUAGUGGAAUUCCCAGUGUAGCGGUGAAAUGCGUAGAUAUUGGGAAGAACACCAGUAGCGAAGGCGGCUACCUGGCUCGCAACUGACGCUAAGGCGCGAAAGCGUGGGGAUCAAACAGGAUUAGAUACCCUGGUAGUCCACGCUGUAAACGAUGGGCGCUAGGUGUUGGUUAGUCUAGGACUGAUCAGUGCCGCAGCAAACGCAAUAAGCGCCCCGCCUGGGGAGUACGAUCGCAAGGUUGAAACUCAAAGGAAUUGACGGGGGCCCGCACAAGCGGUGGAGCAUGUGGUUUAAUUCGAUUCAACGCGCAGAACCUUACCGGGGUUUGACAUGCCGAUGAAUUAUGCAGAGAUGUAUAAGCUCUUCGGAGCGUCGGCACAGGUGCUGCAUGGCUGUCGUCAGCUCGUGUCGUGAGAUGUUGGGUUAAGUCCCGCAACGAGCGCAACCCUUGCCUCUAGUUACCAGCGAGUAAAGUCGGGGACUCUAGAGGGACUGCCGGUGAUAAACUGGAGGAAGGUGGGGAUGACGUCAAGUCCUCAUGGCCCUUACAUCCCGGGCUACACACGUGCUACAAUGGCCGGUACAACGAGUCGCGAUACUGUAAAGUGGAGCCAAUCUUAAAAACCGGUCUCAGUUCGGAUUGCAGUCUGCAACUCGACUGCAUGAAGUCGGAAUCGCUAGUAAUCGCGGAUCAGCACGCCGCGGUGAAUACGUUCCCGGGCCUUGUACACACCGCCCGUCACGCCAUGGAAGUCGGCAGUACCCGAAGCCGGCCGUAAGGUCGUCGAAGGUAAGGCUGAUGACUGGGGCGAAGUCGAAACAAGGUA